AUUGAACGCUGGCGGCAGGCCUAACACAUGCAGGUCGAACGGUAACAGGAAGAAGCUUGCUUCUUUGCUGACGAGUGGCGGACGGGUGAGUAAUGUCUGGGAAACUGCCUGAUGGAGGGGGAUAACUACUGGAAACGGUAGCUAAUACCGCAUAACGUCGCAAGACCAAAGAGGGGGACCUUCGGGCCUCUUGCCAUCGGAUGUGCCCAGAUGGGAUUAGCUAGUAGGUGGGGUAACGGCUCACCUAGGCGACGAUCCCUAGCUGGUCUGAGAGGAUGACCAGCCACACUGGAACUGAGACACGGGCCAGACACCUACGGGAGGCAGCAGUGGGGAAUAAUGCACAGUGGGCGCAAGCCUGAUGCAGCCAUGCCGCGUGUAUGAAGAAGGCCUUCGGGUUGUAAAGUACUUUCAGCGGGGAGGAAGGGAGUAAAGUUAAUACCUUUGCUCAUUGACGUUACCCGCAGAAGAAGCACCGGCUAACUCCGU
rnacentral:rRNA from 1 species